rnacentral:rRNA from 1 species
AGAGUUUGAUCCUGGCUCAGGAUGAACGCGUAGCGGAGGCUUACACAUGCAAGCCGAGGGGUAUAGUUCUUCGGGUACUAGAGACGCGCACGGGUGCGUAACGCGUAUGCAACUUGCCUACUGAAAAGGAUAGCCCUUCGAAAGGAGGAUUAAUACUUUAUAACUAGAUUUAAUGGCAUCAUUAGAUUUUGAAAGAUUUAUCGCAGUAGGAUAGGCAUGCGUAAGAUUAGUUAGUUGGUGAGGUAACGGCUCACCAAGACGAUGAUCUUUAGGGGGCCUGAGAGGGUGAACCCCCACACUGGUACUGAGACACGGACCAGACUCCUACGGGAGGCAGCAGUGAGGAAUAUUGGACAAUGGGUGGAAGCCUGAUCCAGCCACCCCGCGUGUAGGAUGACGGCCUUAUGGGUUGUAAACUACUUUUAUCUGGGGAUAAACCUACUUACGUGUAAGUAGCUGAAGGUACCAGAAGAAUAAGCACCGGCUAACUCCGUG